GGUGCGCAAAUCAAUACACACAGCGUUACAGACUUGGUGCGCAAAUCAAUACACACAGCAUUACAGACUUGGUGCGCAAAUCAAUACACACAGCGUUACAGACUUGGUGCGAAAAUCAAUACGCAGCACUAAAGAUGGCGUAAAGUCGAGGCAGACCUUUUACUGGUGAGGACAAAUCUGCGCACCGUCCAAGCUGCGAGUCACCAUUAUAUCCAAAGACAUAGGCGUGUCUACAAGCUUUCCCCACCAGGUGCAACCGUAGGUCUUGAAAGAGCCACCGAAGGUAAGGUGCAGGAAUAAGCUUUUGAGCCCGCUGGAGGGAGAUAGCGAUCACCUGAGGCUGACUACCAGGGUGAGUAUGAUAAAACAGAAAGAAUCAUGUUUGUGUUGAUCAGUGUUAUGAUGAAUUCCUGUGCCUAUAGGCGAAGGAUCAGAUGUCUGUUCAGUUGCUAAAAGCUGUUUCUUUGCAAUGGCUCUGAUGAUAAUUUUGACAGGAGGACGAGCAUCAAAAUAAAACAGCGAAUAUCUGAUAAUGAAGUCUCUCCUUACCAGGGAUGGGAACCCCCACCAGCGACUCAAUACUGGCUAAAAGAAAGUGAAAGAGAUGCCAAAUGGAAAGAAAAUAUCCAUCCAGGAAAAACCAAGAGAGCAAGAGCAGCAAAACUGAUGCUGCUCGUGGGAAAAAACCAAGAGAUCACAGACCAGAAGUAGCUGGAGAUGGAGACAACAUCAAAGGGAAACCAGGUGUGUUUUUUAGUCGAGGCGACUUUUUACUGGUGAGGACACGAAUCUAUGCACCGUUCAAUCCGCGAGCCACCGUUAUACUCGAAGACAUAGGCGCAUCUACAAACUUACCCCGCCUGGUCCAACCAUAGCUCUUGAAAGAGCCACCAAAGGUAAGGUGCAGGAAUAAGCCUUUGAGCCUGCUGGCAGGAGAUAGUGAUCACCUGAGGCUGACAAACAGGGUGACGAUAACACUGAGUGUUGAUGGGUGUGUUACAGGGGAACAGGUUCAAGGAUCUGACUAGUAGAACAGAAAAAGGCUCACUCAUCUGUUUAGUUACAAAUCAGAUUUAUUGGCACGAGAGAACAAAAACAAUAAUUGUCUUGGUAUGUGCGGGGUCUGUUUUACAGCAGCACACCUCUCUCUCUGUCUCCGUCCAUGACACAGCCCGUCGGUGAAUCCCUCUCGUACAUGAACUAACUUAUGGCUUCCUGACGCCUGCCUUUAUACAGGUAAGAAAUCAGCUGUUAAAAUAACCGCUGGUAAGUCCUGGCCAAUAGUGCUGCUCCCAAAUUCAAACUAUAACCAAUGGUAGGGGAAUGCAUCCCAGCAACCCCCCCCCCCUUGGGAACAAAGUGCUAUCAGCUGCAGACUGGCACGCAAAGCAAUACACACUGCGCUGAAGAGUUGGCGUACAAAUCGAUACACACAGCGCUACAGACUUAUUGCGCAAAUCAAUACACACAGCGCCACAGACUUGGUGUGCAAAUCAAUAUACACAGCGCUAAAGAUGGCGCUCAAAUCAAUUCACACCUCGCUACAGACUUGGUGCGCAAAUCAAUUUUUCACAGCGCAAAAGAUGGCGCUCAAAUCAAUUCACAGCGCUACAGACUUGACGCUUAAAGGUAAUACACGGCGCUGCUGGUUUGGUGCACAAAGGUUUAAACAGCGCUGUCGGCUUAACGCACUGAAAUUUAAACAGAGCUAUCAGUUGCAACGCUAUGGGUUCUAAAUAUAACGUUACUGGCCACAGAGCAUUGGGCUUUAAAAGCAGGACUAUGCGUCACUGACUGUUCAGCAAAAUGUUCAUAACUGUUAUGAUGAAUUCCUGUGCUAAUAGGGGAUAGAUCAAAUGUGUCUUCAGUAGCUAAAAGCUGUUUCUUUGCAAUGGCUGAUGGUAAUUUAUUUACUCGUGUGAAUGUUAGUUGAAGCCGGCUUUGUAUUGGAGAUUUUUGUUUGCUUAGUCGGGCUUUUUAUCUGUGCUUAUUUACUCUUUUAUUUCCCCGAGGUGUGUUUUUUAGUCAAGGCAGACUUUUUACUGAUGAGGAUACAAAUCUGCGCACCGUUCAAUCUGUGAGUCACCAUCAUACCCAAAGACAUUGGCGCGUCUACAAGCUUACCCCGCCUGGUCCAAACGUAGGUCUUGAAAGAGCCACCAAAUGUAAGGUGCAGGAAUAAGACUUUGAGCCCAUUGGCAGGAGAUAGUGAUCACCUGAGGCCGACUACCAGGGUGAGUAUGAUAACACUUAAAGAAUCAUUGUGUUGAUGAGUGUAAUGAAUUCCUGUGCUAGUAGGCGAUGGAUCAAAUGUCUGUUCAGUUGCUAAAAGCUGCUUCUUUGCAAUGGCUCUGAUGAUAAUUUUGACAGGAGGACGAGUGUCAUUUAAUACAGCGAAUAUCUGAUAAUGAAGUCUCUCCUUACCAGGGAUGGGAACCUCCACCAGCGACUCAAUACCGGCUAAAAGAAAGUGAAAGAGAUGCUAAAUAGAAAGAAAAGAUCCAUCCAGGAAAAACCGAGAGCAAGAGCAGCUCGUAGGGAAAAGCCAAGAGAUCACAGACCAGAAGUAGCUGGAGAUGGAGACAGCGUUAAUGGGAAACCAAGUUGGUCCCUCUUGUUGCUCAUUGGCCUACUCAUUGGUCACUAUUGUUUUUACUCGACAUAUGUUUUCUAACUUGAUGUACUUUUACACGAGAUGAGUUUUUUGCUGGAUGCGGGUCUUUUACUUUUUUUAUUCAUGGUGUGAUUUUUUUUAGUCAAUGCCAACUUUUUACUCCAAAUGGGUUUUUCAUAGUCUAGACAGGCUUUCUACUCGUUUUUUUUACUUGUGUGUUUUUUAACUUUUCAUUCAGUGCACCUUUUAGUCGAGGCUGACUUUUUACUCACGGUGUGUUUUGUAACUACUUUUUACUCGAGGCUUGUUUUUCAGUUAAGGCAGGAAUUUUACUCGUUCUUUUGUGGAGUUUUUUUUUACUUGAGGCUGGUUUUUUUCUCAGUUUAAUUUACUCGCGGUGGCUUUUUUUGUCAAGAUGGGGUUUUUUAGUCGGGGUGUGCUUUUCCAAGGUUUCUAUUUACCUGACGCUUUUUUAAGGUGUGUUUUUAAUCGAGCUAUGUGUUUUACUCUUUUGCUCGAGGUGUUUUGUAACUGUUCAGUCAGGGGGGGAAGUGUUUACAUGAUGUGUUGUCCACUCAUGCUAUACUUGUGGCGGGUGCAGGCUUUGCCGUCAGCUGAAAGUUUCUGCACUUCGGUUUUCCGCUCAAAACUCCUGCCACGUUCAUUGGAGAAAGCC